rnacentral:rRNA from 1 species
AUUGAACGCUGGCGGCAUGCCUUACACAUGCAAGUCGAACGGCAGCACGGGAGCAAUCCUGGUGGCGAGUGGCGAACGGGUGAGUAAUAUAUCGGAACGUGCCCAGUCGUGGGGGAUAACGUAGCGAAAGCUACGCUAAUACCGCAUACGAUCUAUGGAUGAAAGCGGGGGAUCGCAAGACCUCGCGCGAUUGGAGCGGCCGAUAUCAGAUUAGGUAGUUGGUGAGGUAAAGGCUCACCAAGCCGACGAUCUGUAGCUGGUCUGAGAGGACGACCAGCCACACUGGGACUGAGACACGGCCCAGACUCCUACGGGAGGCAGCAGUGGGGGAAUUUUUGGGACAAUGGGCGGCAAGCCUGAUCCAGCAAUGCCGCGUGCAGGAUGAAGG